GCCUUUGAACCCGCUGUGAGUUGGUGCCCCGCGCCUGAUCAUAAGGGCGUGAGCUGCAGCUCAGCAGCAGUUACGAGCACCACUGAAAGACUUGGUGGGGGAUGCCGUUCUGCGUUUAUUUAGAGUUUUGAUACUUUCGGUGAGCUACAGUAAUUUCUUUGCAACUAGGUGACGGGAUUGGUGCUGUUCUCUUUCUGGAGAGAAAGACAUCCUUGGUCAUCUAAAGCAUUGCACUCUCUUCCUGAGAGAGGCAAUGGCCACAGCAGGGAACGACUCCUUCAUUGCCGAGGGAAUGACUCCGCCACAAAGGAUCCUCUUUCCCCCCGAGAAGAUUUGCAUGGUCUGGCAGCAAAGACAGAGUGCUGGAGCAGGACUCCUCAAUGUGGGCAACACAUGCUUCCUUAAUGCUGUCCUGCAAUGCCUGACAUACACCCCGCCGCUGGCCAACUAUCUGCUCUCCCGGGAGCACAGCCAGGCCUGUCGCCAACAAGGCUUCUGCAUGAUGUGCAUCAUGGAAGCGCAUGUUAACAAGGUCCUGCGUUCAGUCAGUGCCAUCCUGCC